rnacentral:rRNA from 1 species
GCUCAGUAACACGUGGAUAACCUGCCCUAAGGAAGGGGAUAACCUCGGGAAACUGAGGAUAAUACCCUAUAGGUUACAGACGCUGGAAUGCCCUGUAACCGAAAGUUCCGGCGCCUUAGGAUGGAUCUGCGGCCGAUUAGGUUGUUGUUGGGGUAACGGCCCAACAAGCCGAUAAUCGGUACGGGUUGUGGGAGCAAGAGCCCGGAGUUGGAUUCUGAGACAUGAAUCCAGGCCCUACGGGGCGCAGCAGGCGCGAAAACUUUACAAUGCGGGAAACCGUGAUAAGGGAACCCCGAGUGCCUGUAUAUGCAGGCUGUCCAGGUGUCUAAAAAACACCUGAAGAAAGGGCCGGGCAAGACCGGUGCCAGCCGCCGCGGUAAUACCGGCGGCUCGAGUGGUGGCCACUUUUAUUGGGCUUAAAGCGUUCGUAGCUGGGUUGUUAAGUCUCUUGGGAAAUCUGAUGGCUCAACCGUCAGGCGUCCAAGGGAUACUGGCAAUCUUGGAACCGGGAGAGGUGAGGGGUACUUCGGGGGUAGGAAGUGAAAUCCUGUAAUCCUCGAGGGACCACCUGUGGCGAAGGCGCCUCACCAGAACGGCUUCGACAGUGAGGGACGAAAGCUGGGGGAGCAAACCGGAUUAGAUACCCGGGUGGUCCCAGCCGUAAACGAUGCGCGUUAGGUGUAUCGGUGACCACGAGUCACCGAGGUGCCGAAGGGAAACCGUGAAACGUGCCGCCUGGGAAGUACGGUCGCAAGGCUGAAACUUAAAGGAAUUGGCGGGGGAG